rnacentral:rRNA from 1 species
CCCUUAGAUGUUCUGGGCCGCACGCGUGCUACACUGAGUGGAUCAGCGGGUCAGGUUGCGCGAAAGUGUUUCCUAAUCUUGAAAUCCGCUCGUGAUGGGGAUUGACGGUUGCAAUUUUCCGUCAUGAACGAGGAAUACCUUGUAAGCGUGGGUCAUCAUCCCGCGCUGAAUACGUCCCUGCCCUUUGUACACACCGCCCGUCGCUCCUACCGAUUGAGUGGUCCGGUGAGGCUUUGGGAUCUGAGCGGAAAGAGCGUUUCGCUGUUUCUGCCCGGAAAACUCAGUCGAACCUUAUCAUUUAGAGGAAGGAGAAGUCGUAACA